ACAACAGUGAUGCCCGUAGUAAUGGCGAAUGAAGCGGGCGGAGCCCAGCACCGAACCGCCGGCCAUAUCGGUCGUGCGGAAUGUGGUGUUUGGGAGAGCCUCAUCAACGUGAGAGUGCCUGUCCAAGUCCAUCUUGACAGGGGCCAUUGCUCAGAGGGGGUGAUAGGCCCGUAGGACGGUCAGCUCACCGCGGUGGCUUUUCCCCAGAGUCGAGUUGCUUGGGAGUGCAGCUCAAAGUGCGUGGUAAACUCCACGUAAGGCUAAAUAUGACCCCGAGACCGAUAGCGAACAAGUACCGUGAGGGAAAGUUGAAAAGUACUUUGAAGAGAGAGUUCAAUAGUGCGUGAAACUGUGCGGUGGUAAACGGAGGGGUUUCUCGAAGUUGGUUCCUGAGGUUCAGGUCAGGGUGUGAGCUGCUUGGGUGUUAGGGAUCCGCAAGGACCCUGUGCUUGGGCUGGCUUGCACCAUGGCUGCACUUCUCAGGGGCUUGUCGCGACGAACCGCUGGCAGUGCACCGCGGGCGUGGGUGAAGUUGGGGUUAGGACUUGUCCUGGACUCAGCCCUGCGUUCGUUCCGGGCUGCGCAGCCGGCGGGUAUGAGGGCAGCCUCGUAUAGCGAGCACAUCGUCUUGUGCGGGUUGCGUUUCUGUCGCGAGUAGGUCGGCGGCCCCUCCGACCCGUCUUGAAACACGGACCA
rnacentral:rRNA from 1 species